ACCAUCGAAACAACGAAGAAUCAUGAAUCGAUUUAUCAAAAUCGACAAAAACAAAACGAUCGAAGUUCUGAUCAGUUUCCAGAAAAAUUAGAUCUCGCCUCGUCGUCUUCUUCUUCCUCGAAACUUCCAAUUUGGUGUGGAACUCCUCCUCUCUCGUUCUCUCUCGGCGUCUCUGUGUCUUGUUGCUGAAUGAGCAAGCUCCAGCGAAUUUAACAUUGAGAAGUUGCAGCUAGUUGAAGCAGAGAAGAAGAUUAAACAAGAGCAUGAGAAGAAGGAGAAACAGGUCGAUGUCAGAAAGAAGAUUGAUUACUUAAUGCAACUGAAUGCGUCGAGGAUCAAGGUUCUACAAGCUCAAGAUGACAUUGUUAAUUACAAACGAUUGAUGAUGAUCAGAGGGAUGAGAUCACCUUGAAAUUAUACAAUGGUUUGAAUUGUUGAAACUUGUUUUGGUUUGUGAUUGUUGUGCAAUGAGAGGAUGUUUGAGAGUUAGAUGGAAAAUGGUUUUGGUUUGUUUGAUUGUUGUUUGUAAAACAAGUUCUCUGAUUUUUUAAAAAAAAUUGA